AUGGACGCGCUGAGGUUUCUGGGCGCCGUCCGGCCCGCCACGCCGCCGCAGCCCCCAGUGGCGCCGCCGCCGGCGCAGCGGCAGCAGCAGCAGACGCGCGCCGCCAUGCCGCGCCUGUGGCCGCGCGGCGAGAGGCGGGGCGCCGGCGCGAGCGGAGAGGUUCGCGGCGAUGAGGCGGGGACGAGGCCCGACGCGGAGGAGCGGAGGCAGGGCAAUCAGCAGACGCGCGCCGCCAUGCCGCGCCUGUGGCCGCGCGGCGAGAGGCCGGGCGCCGGCGCGAGCGGAGAGGUUCGCGGCGAGGAGGCUGGGACGAGGCCCAACGCGGAGGACCGGAGGCAGGGCAACUGGGUGCUGCAGAUGCUGCGGGUGCAACCAAGGUGGGCGGAUCAGGCGGACGCCGAGGCGGCCGGCGGUGGCCGGGGACGCGGAGGGCAGGAAGACGAGGCGCCGGACGUGUCCGGGGCCGAGAGGUGCGCGUCGUGCGACGGCGGGGACGACGAGGAAGGCUGCGCCGUCGGGGCGGACGAGGGCGGCGGCGAGGUGUUCGACCGCGCGUCCUUCUCGAGGCUCCUCCGGAAGGUGUCCAUCGAGGACGCCAAGGAGUACUCCAGGAUGUCCUACCUCUGCAACAUCGCCUACAUGAUCCCCAAAAUUCAGCCAAAAUGUCUCCGCCGGUACAGUUUACAGUUUGUGACAACAUCAGUGCAAGAGAAGGACAGAGCUAAUCCUGAUAGGAAGCAGGAGCAGAGCACUGAGAAAGGUGAAUCUCCAGAUAAAAAACCUCGAGUUGUCAAGAAUGCUGCCGCUGCGUUGGGCAGCAAGGAGGAAGAAGGAAAUGGCCUGGCGAUAAACCCUUUUGGUGCAUACCAAGUCAUGUCAUCUGCUGCCUCAUAUUUACAUUCCCGGGCCAUGGGCAUCAAUCCCUUUGGUUCCAGGACUAAUGGUAAGAAUGAUCCAACAACCAUCAUGGCCAUUGUGAGUGGUGAGAAUGGUGAAGGUUUAACCUUGGACGAAGCCUCAUUUGUGGCCACAACAAAUUCAGUAACUUCCAUGGUUGCUGCCAAGGAAGAAACAAGACAAGCUGUUGCAGAUGAUCUAAAUUCUUCAAGGUCAUGUCCCUCUGAAUGGUUUAUUUGCGAUGAUGAUCAAGGCAGCACAAGAUACUUCGUAGUUCAGGGCUCGGAGACGAUCGCUUCUUGGCAGGCCAACCUACUAUUUGAACCAGUCAAAUUUGAGGGACUCGAUGUACUUGUUCACAGGGGAAUAUACGAAGCUGCCAAAGGGAUGUAUCACCAAAUGCUGCCAUAUGUCAGAUCACACUUGAGAAAUUAUGGUAAAUCCGCAGAAUUACGAUUCACUGGCCAUUCUCUUGGUGGGAGUUUGGCUUUGCUUGUGAAUCUAAUGUUGCUGAUGAGAGGAGAGGCACCUGCUGCAUCAUUGUUGCCUGUUAUAACAUUCGGUGCCCCAUGCAUCAUGUGUGGCGGUGACCACUUACUCCGUAAACUCGGGCUGCCGAAGAGUCAUGUGCAAUCAAUCACAAUGCAUCGGGAUAUUGUUCCUCGAGUAUUUUCGUGCAAUUAUCCUGACCAUGUCGCCAACAUUCUGAAGCUCGCCAAUGGAAAUUUCCGCAGUCACCCAUGCCUUACAAACCAGAAACUCUUGUAUGCCCCAAUGGGGGAAGUCCUCAUCUUGCAGCCGGACAAGAGGCUGUCCCCGCACCACCACCUUCUCCCACAGGACAGUGGCAUCUACUACCUGGGCGAUUCGGCAGGCAUCUCCCUGAAACUGCUCCAAUCCGCCGUGUCAGCCUUCUUCAACUCCCCACACCCGUUGGAGAUCCUCAAGGACAGCGGCGCCUACGGCCCCAAGGGCACGGUGUACCGCGACCACGACGUGAACUCGUACCUGCGGUCGGUCCGCGGCGUGGUGCGCAAGGAGGUGCGGCGCCUCCGGGAGGCGGAGCGCGAGCGGUGGCAGCUCCUCCUGUGGUGGCCGCUGGCCGUGCACGGCGUGCUGGCCACCGGCAUUGGCGGCUGGGGCGAGCUGGCGGACGCGGUGGCGCGGGGAGGGAAGCAGGCGGCGAGGCAGGCCCAGCAGCACGCCCGGCUGCUGGCGCUGUUCCUGCUGCCGGUGAAGCUGCUCGUGCUCGGGGCUCUCCUGGCCGUUGGACUGAGGUGA
rnacentral:rRNA from 1 species